GCCUUCGUGGUGUAGUGGUCAGCACACUGGGCGCGUAUUUCAGAGGUCCGUGGUUCAAGUCCCGGCAAAGGCA
rfam:Stegodyphus mimosarum contig71050, whole genome shotgun sequence.